rnacentral:misc_RNA from 1 species
UCCAACCCCUGUGACUACCUAUACGUUGCCUCGGCGGAUCAGCCCGCGCCCCGUAAAAAGGGACGGCCCGGCCGAGGACCCCUAAACUCUGUUUUUAGUGGAACUUCUGAGUAAAACAAACAAAUAAUUCAAACCUUUCAACAACGGAUCUCUUGGUUCUGGCAUCUAUGAGGACCGCAGCA